rnacentral:rRNA from 2 species
UGGGGGAUAGCCCGGCGAAAGCCGGAUUAAUACCGCAUACGCUCUACGGAGGAAAGGGGGGGAUCUCAGGACCUCCCGCUACAGGGGCGGCCGAUGGCAGAUUAGCUAGUUGGUGGGGUAAAGGCCUACCAAGGCGACGAUCUGUAGCUGGUCUGAGAGGACGACCAGCCACACUGGGACUGAGACACGGCCCAGACUCCUACGGGAGGCAGCAGUGGGGAAUUUUGGACAAUGGGCGAAAGCCUGAUCCAGCAAUGCCGCGUGUGUGAAGAAGGCCUUCGGGUUGUAAAGCACUUUUGUCCGGAAAGAAAACCUCCGCCCUAAUAUGGUGGGGGGAUGACGGUACCGGAAGAAUAAGCACCGGCUAACUACGUGCCAGCAGCCGCGGUAAUACGUAGGGUGCAAGCGUUAAUCGGAAUUACUGGGCGUAAAGCGUGCGCAGGCGGUCCGCUAAGACAGAUGUGAAAUCCCCGGGCUUAACCUGGGAACUGCAUUUGUGACUGGCGGGCUAGAGUAUGGCAGAGGGGGGUAGAAUUCCACGUGUAGCAGUGAAAUGCGUA